GCCAAAGCUGGCUGGGCUUGAGUCCAUACCAGCCUGAAAGUGGCCAGACCCUUCUCCACCCACCAGAAGGUAGACUCAAACUCUGGGUCGCAUGGCAGCGUGAAGUACUGAGGUGGUCUGCAGAUCUCUGCAUGGUUUUCUAGAAGCCUGGCUUCUUCAGGAGAAGUGGGGAAGGUGAGGGCCAAUGGGUGCCUUCUAGGAGAGUAGUACAAAGAGAGAAGGAAAGAGAGAAAGAAUGGGCUGCAAGUUAAAAACAGUAUAUCCUGGGAAAAGGACAUACAAGGGUUUAUCAUUGAACACAUUAGACAAUUAAUGCAAUGGUUUAACAUUGACAUAUAAUGAAUGUAAUUCAGCAUACUAACAAAAUAAUGGAGAAAGUCAUAUGACUAUAUCAAUAUAUGCAGAAAAGCAUUCUUUAA